UGAGUCCGGGCCUGACACAGAUCUUAGAAGUGUAGCAGAUUCAAUAUUGAUGAAGUGGAUCGAUCAGAGGAGCACCUCCCUCCCAUUUCUGUUACGACAGCCGGUCUGCAGUGUGGACAGAGGGGACGACGAAGGCCAUCGGUCAACACACACUUUAGCCCCUAUUUUAACUUGUGUGUGUGUGUGUGUGCGCGCGCAUGAGGCUGCAUGUAUGCGUGUCAGUGCGCAUCUUGGCUUCUGUCCUGUCUCUGUCUCUGACCAUGGUUCCUCUGGUGGAGGACUCCGGGCCACAUUCUCCCUUCCCAUCUGCCCCUGCACCGCCUUUGCGUCCCUCGGCUUGCCGUACUGACAGGCGGAGUUGCCACAGUGAUGGAUGACUGUGCGCUUAGUUUCAGUGUCAGAGUCCUGCACCUCUGCUACCUGCCGUGUGGGUCCCUGUCAAAGACUUCCUGUCAGGUCAGCUAUACUCUACCUCCCCGCCCCCCUUCCUUUUUAUCCAGCUCUUCAUCUUCAUCUUGCAGCUCUCUCAUCUCACCUUUAUUUAGCUCACUAGUGGGACCUAUCUCAAAAGCUGAAGAAAAGUGUAAAA